UCCAACCAUGUGAACCCUUCUGUUGAUCUCUCCAUGAACAGGAACCCAUGAUUUCAGUUUUCAAAACACCACUGCAUUUACCUGUUUAAUUCUGCACACUUGUUUCUAAUUGCUUGCUUUCACUUAUACACAUAUAUUUCCUUCCUCCUGUUCUGUAUUCCCAGGUUUUGAAGGUUCAGGGCUCUGCUGGCAAUGAGUAUUGCAUCUCUGAGUAACAGAAACUUCUUUUAAUCUGUGCCACCAGUUUUCUUGUCAUUUGGUUUAUUAAACAGCACUUCCAUCACAGACACGUAACACUUGCAUCUGUUCACUUCUGCAUGGACUUGUUGUAAGUAAGAGGGAAAGAAAAUACAGAAAUGAGGCCUGAGAAGAUGAAGCUCCUGCAGCCUGGGAGGGCUUCGUGCUCACUGAAGCACAGGACUCUACAGAGUCUUGAACAAAUCCCUGUAUUUUCUUACACUACAUCUCUUUUGACAGCAAAUAUUUCCAAAGAUUAAAAUUGAAGUAGUCUCUCAUUUUCAAGUUGCAAAGUAUUUGUAUGAAUGAAGAAAAUACAGCUUCAUUGUAUGAAUGAAGAAAAUACAGCUUCACCUUGUCAUCCUUAGAUGACAGGGGACAUUAUCUGCAUCACAGAAGGGAUCUCAGAAAUGUACAGAUUAAGGUAAAAUGUAUCAUGUAAUUUCUAACAUUCCAUCUGCUAUGACAAAGACCCUCUUUUAGGAACAAUUUCUGCAUCACAGAUAUAUUUAUUCUCUGGUAAUAUUAUUAUAAUUGUUAGGGCUUAAAAACACUUCUGAGAUUAAGUCUCAACAUUCUGAUUAGUCACCAAGAACAAGCAGAACAUACAUGUAGUGAUUACCUAAAGGUAAUAAGUUCAAACAGCAGUUUUUGCAUUUGCUAAGCCUCGAAGUGUUGAAGCAUUUGAUUUUUCAGCCUUACUGACAGUUUUGGUUUGGCAUGCAUACAGCAUCACUGAAAGUCUCUUAUUGACAGGAUGCUACUAAACAUAUACUGUAGAGAACAAAUAAUAUGAAAUGAGACCUCAGUGCAAAGUGUUUCUGACGUAUUCAUCCAAAAGUUGCAAAUGUCCUUUGCUGUUGUUCUAUUCUGCCUCAGCAUGAGAGUGCUGUUCUUCUCCCAGGAAGCUGUAGGAGCUAUGAAGGUGAAUAUGUGACUUGCAGUGCCUUGAGACAUUAGGCAAAGGCUUUGUACAAUGCUUGCCCCCAGCAUGCCAUUAUUCAGGCAUCAUGCCUAAACUUUUGCUGUCUGAAGAGGGAAACUAACAAACAAACAAAGAAAUCCUAGCCUCAAAGGUCUAGACAAAACAUGAAUAAACUAAACUGCACUGGAACA
rnacentral:lncRNA from 1 species